UGUGUGUGUGUGUGUGUGUGUAUAUAUAUAUAUAUGUGUGUGUGUGUGUGUGUACACACACACACACACACACACA